rnacentral:lncRNA from 1 species
CCCUGUUCACUCGCCAUUACUGAGGGAAUCCUGGUUAGUUUCUUUUCCUCCGCUGACAAAUAUGCUUAAAUUCAGCGGGUCGCCACGUCUGAUCUGAGGUCGCGGGCCUCGAUCAGAAGGACUUGGGCCCCACACGAGCGGCGCCGGGGAGUGGGUCUUCCGUACGCCACAUUUCCCGCGCCCCACCGCGGGGCGGGGAUUCUAAUUUUUGUAUUUUUGAUAGAGAUGGGGUUUCACCAUGUUGGCCAGACUCUCUCGAACUCCUGGCCUCAUGUGAUCCACCCACCUCAGCCUCCCAAAGUGCUGGGAUUACUGAUGUGAGCCAGGAGCAUAAAAUAUUUUCUAGGAAAUGGAGUAGGAUGCGGAGAACCUGGACCAGAGGUGAGAAAUCCUGAACCCUAGUCCUGGCUCAGCUGCUAGUUUUUGUGGGGCAUCUCUUGGGGUGUUGGUUUCCUCUCUGUAAGAGCCAUAAGGUAAUUGAUCACUCAGCCCCUUGCUCCAAGACUCAAUAACUUCUACACAUCUGGAGAAGCCCUGUGGUAGGACCACAGCAUGCUGUCCAGGGUGCAGACUCAAGGACUGAGGAAAUAUAAACUAAGGAGAGAUUCAGAGAGGGAUAGGCGAAGGAAAGACCUCUCCGCACCCCCAAAGGAAAUGAGCACAAGGCUGGGUGCGGUGGCUCA